CCCCCUGCCACCCCGACCUUAUGGGUGGUAUAAUUCCUCACCACAUCUUUGUCCUGGAGUUUUGCUUCUCACGGGAGAAGUGAUUCCAUCCAUAGCCUAGACAGAAGUAAAUUCUCUUGUCAUUUUCCUGGGCCAGUUUGGUUUUCUGGCUCUCCUUUCCAUUCCGUGUCUCCACAUUUCUUGGGCCCAAGGUCACAUCCCCUGUUGUGUUGGACAUUAUGACUAUAGACUCUCUGAGUCUCCGGUACAGUGUACCUUAGAUCUCUUUGGUGGCAGGUUGCAAACUCAUUGCUCUGAAUUAAAUUCUUUGUUGACAGCUGAUGGUUUUCCCUCCUUCUCUAUCUUUUAGCUGUGCAUUUAUUUACCAAUCGAUUUUGGCUAUGGCUGUGUUCCAUUCAUCAUUUCUCUGCAUCCGUGGAGGAUCUGAGUUAGGAUAUGAGUCCAUCGCCAGCUUUCUUUAUCAACUUUCCUGAAUCAUGCUAUGCCUUCUUGAUUGGUAAAGCUGGUUGUUCCUUCCUUUCAAGGAUGGUUUUCCUCUGUUAUCUCUAUGAGUACUUUUCUAUGUGUUGGGCUUUUCUUGGGUUUCUUGGAGGAGGAGAAAACAUCUCUGGUCUGGCCCUGUGCCGCCAUCUUCUCUGGACAUCUCUCUGUUAUCAUUUGCUCUCUGCACUUGCCUUUGUAAAAUGAAUCAUACCCAGACGACCCCUUCUCAGUAUCAUCUUCCGCCUUGGCAGGAUGCCUCAGUGCAGCGCCAGCUUCCAGGAUGGACGCAGAGUCAGCCCUGCCUGCUAGGUAUGUGAACUGACUUUUAACGAUGGGGGAUUUAUUUUUUGACCAUCUGUCUCCUGGACUAUUAACCCUAAGUAUGCAAUUUAUCCUCAGGGAGACUUCUUGGAAGUUAAGGCCACCUUUGGAGAUGAGGAGGCCAUAAUUCUGAGGUCAGUGCCACACCUCACGUGGUAUAAUAACAUUUGCAUCCCAUGCUGUCAUCAUUUUAACAAUCAGUGUGGCAAAAUAGCGUCUUGGGGAUGAACUGCAGCUUUGGGGGGCUUCCUGGGCCCAUGGUGAUAUGGAAAAAGGAUCCCUGCUGUCAGCUGUGACGCUGAUGUGAAAUGGGGAAGAGUUCCUCGCUGCGAUCAGAAUAGCGAAUUCUUACGCACUUGACUUUUACAUUUUGACACGCCCCGGAAGUGUUUCUAUGAUAGCCUGCCAAGCACCUCUAAGGUGCUGAUGCCUGGGCUACUUCAGGGUCUAGGCUGGGGUGAUCGAGCAUGGUGGGUGCGCUUCGUGUGUGACUCUCAGUCUGCUAACCCUCAGUGCUCACUCUGUCCUUAGGGAGACUUCCCGGAGGAGGCCGGCUUUGGAGAAAAAGAAUUGGCAGCUGGUUGGUUCUAACCCGCGGUACCUGAACUUAGGUUAUCCGUGUUGCCUUCACUCGAUUUGUGACGCAUCAUACACCGUUCACCUAUUUUCCCAUGCCAAAGUCCGCCAUGAAUGGCUGUUCGGGCAGAGUCCCACUUCAGGGCGAGACCUCAGUGUCCAUUCGUCUCCUUGGUAAGCGGAGGGACCGUGGACCACAGCCGACUCCAGAGCACGUGCAUCCUGAUGCGGCGUGCCUGCUCCUAACCCCCUGUGUGGUCCAUCCGUGGCAAGACUCACGGAGGUGGUGCCGUCUUGGGAAAAGAAGUGGGGCUUUUCCUACCAAAGCUUCUUGGCGGCCACUCGAAGACGGGUUUUCCGUGACGUGCUCGCUUUAUUCUUCGGCACGUCGCUCACGGUUGGCCUUUGUUUUUAAGUAUCAGAUCUCACCUUCAAGCACCCUGGGGAGACACCAGCUCUAGGAACCAGAGUCGGUGUCCACACACUUGAGUGGACGCUCUUGGACAUGUGCGCGUCCUCCCACGCGUGUGUCCACGCCGCCUCCAGGGUCACCACUUGUGCACGAGGCCAGUUUCCCUGAAGACGCGGUAACCUCGUAGAUUCACCUCCCUACGUGUUUGUCAGUAAGUCGUCCCCGCCGCUGGCUCCUCGCGUACGACAGGUGACGCUCCGCCCAUCUCCAUUGGCAGCCUGUCCCUCUCCACGUGGCUUCUUGGAAGGGGCAGUGCGUCUGCACCUGCGGGCGGGACCUGGCCGACUGGGGCCGGCCCGCAUGGCGUGCGUCUGACAUUGGUGUCCCCGCACGUCCUCCCUCCGUAGCCCUUCUGUCUGCAGGCCUGCCGUCUCGGAACGUGCCGGAAGCCAGCACUCUAGUCCGGUACUUGAAUGGAGGUUGUCCAUGGUGUGUUCAUUUUAUUUAUGAUGAGUAUUACAUGGCCAAUCUCCGUUCAGUACUCAAUUCUUCUUGGGGAGACUCCACAAGGCCAGGUCCGCCCGGUGCCUGUCCACGGUAAGGAGAGGGAACAUUCACCCCGUCAGUGCUGUGUUUGUGAUGGGUGUCACCUGGCCCAGAAUUCCCAAGAAGGGUGCUGACUUUCUUAGGUGACACCGUGGUCUGUUAGUCAUUGGUACCCUCCCUUCCUUGAAGGCUCACUAGUGAAGAAAGCACACUGGAUAAGUCCCUUGUCUGUAGGGAACCAUCUUGGACGUGAGGCCCAUUCUGGGGAAGGGGACUCCUGUGUCGUUCCAACAGCCUGGCCGAGUGGAAGACACACACCCUACAUACGCCAUGUGUUACCACCCCCUCAAGUAUCUUAGUCCUCAAAGGGGUCCUCUGAGGUAAAGCCGACCCUGUGGAGGUGGGGCUGGGGGAGGGGAUGUCUUCCGUGGUGGGACUCGGGGUAUUUGAAGAUGGGUUUCCACGGCUCGGUUUGUUUAUUCCUGGUGCAAGAGAAGAAUCCUUGAUAGCGUUUAUGAUUGCCUUAUGUUUACUAACUCCAUGAUCUUGGGCCAGUUACUUACACCCUCACCUCUGGGCCUCAGUUUACUCUUCUGCGAAAUGGGUUAAUGUUUACUCAGAGGGGAGAUACAAAAACUCAGCGUACGAGCCAAGGAUCUAGACCGUGCUUGACACGUAGUGACAUUGAAUAAGAAUCGCCUCUUCGGAUGGCUGUUGUUACCAUGUUGUUAUCCCGACAUAGACCUUCCCUUGUUGUUUGCACACCAGAGCAUGAGCUCCCCGAGGGCAGUCUGGUUUUGCCUAAUGCCAUGUCCCUCAUUGCACGCAGUAGGUGUGAUGUUGACUGAGCGGGUGGUGGCCGGUUGACACAUUUUCUUUAUCAAGCGCCUGUCUGAGGCCUCCUGGAAGGAAGAGUGAAUGAAGGACAGCAGUGAGCCUGCGCUGUCCCAGUGACGUUGUCUGUCGCCCUCGCCAUCCCUCCAGGAAGAGGAGUGACCGGCCUGCAGGGACUUCCCCGAGGAGAUGCCAGCCUCGGGAUGGGACCUCGGUGUGCGCGUCUCUCGAGGAUCAGCCCCUGCCUUGGCGGAUUCCCCGAAGCCACACCGCCCUCAGGAGGUGGCCAGCGGCUGGAGCCCCCUCCAGGGUAGGUGUCUGGGCGCAGCCCCGGGACAUGCCCUGAAUGUGGAUGACGGGUGUCACCUGAUCCACUAGCCGUUGCCGAGCAGCCGUUCUUGGGAGCACUUCCAGGAGGUGAUGUCCGCCCCGGCAAAGCCUCUCUGACCUGCAGGUCAGUACCCAGGGACAGGGAAGCUCCUGCAAUGUGUUCGCCGGCUGCAGGACAGACCGUGGGGGGGCUGGCCUCUCGCUGCAAUUGUAGCCAGGCCCGAGGGCUUCCCAAACUCAUGCCAGGGGUUCUGCGGUCGGCCCCCCUCCGAAGUUCCCCAAACAGGUGGCGGGCACAGAGUGCAGACUCUGUGUGUGGCCUGUGUCGUCUGCCCCCCCCGCCCCCCCGGCCCAUCCGUUAUUUGGGGCGUAUUGUGGAUCUGAAGUCCACUCUGGGAAAAAGCUGAGGCCCGGAUAUCAGAGCUGGUCUGCUUUCCUUUGAAGAGCAACCGUCUUCAGCUCCCUUGCUCUGCCGCUACCCUGCCCCCCCCCCCCACCGCUGCCUUAUUUUUGGUGUUUUUGCUUACUUUGUGAGGCUAAUCAAACAGUCAACCAGAUUUUUAAAUCACUCUUGGAAGGGCUCUGGGGUGGCGGGACACACACACACACACACACACACACACACACACACACACACGGGGCUAGAGGUGGUGUGUGGGGGGUGCCGGGGAGCACAGCCCUGGGCAUUCGCGCCCUGCACACGCGCACCGGGGGAGGGAGGCUUCGUGGGUGUGGGACCCAGGCUCACCCUCUCCAGGGUCUGGGAAUGGAGAGCGGGGGGCAGGCAGGGCAGGGUCUCCCCCACCUUCAGACGGCCCACGCACGGCUCAGUCGGCCACGAGGGCACCGCGGCUGCCCCGGGGAGCCCCGGGGGAGUCACGCCCCGGCACGGGGCCCCCUCUUGCCAGUGUGAGGUCCCCCCGGCCCUCGCCCUUCGCUUCGGGGAAGGGUCUCUGCGUUUGGCUCAUGGCGGGCAGGCCAUGCAAGGAUUGGCCUCGCUGCCUCGGGGGGAGGUGGGUCGCGGCGGGGAGGGCGAAGUUCGGGCCCCCGCAUGCCCAGCGUUCAGGCUGUGCUCGUGGAGGGUCUGGCGCGAGCACAGCCAGCUGGAAGCGUCCGCCUCGGUGCCAGCGCCCCGGCCUCUGCAUGGUACUCGGGGAGAGGUUACCCGAGCAACUUUGCAUCCGGACGACGAAUGUUGCUCGGUGAACCCCUUUUCGGUAUCACAUUCCGCCAGAGAGGCCGUCUCGGAGGCCGCGGCUCCUCGGGGAAGAACGUCGGUGUCGGCACCCCUCCGGGGUACGGGACGGAUGGUCGACCAGUUGGAAAGUAAUUGUUUCGAAUGUACUUCACCUGGUCCACUAGCCGUCCGUAUCCGCUGCAGCCUGCGGGGCCCGCGGGCCCGGGGAAAGCCGCUCCUCAGCUCAGCGCCUCUCCUGGUACUUGAAGGGAGAUCGACCGUGUUAUAUUCGCUUUAUUGGCUUCGAAUAAUACAUGGUUGAUCUUUUCUCAGUAUCAAAUCUCACCUUGGAGGAUCUCUUGGAG